GACGAACGCUGGCGGCGUGCUUAACACAUGCAAGUCGAACGGAAAGGCCCUGCUUUUGUGGGGUGCUCGAGUGGCGAACGGGUGAGUAACACGUGAGUAACCUGCCCUUGACUUUGGGAUAACUUCAGGAAACUGGGGCUAAUACCGGAUAGGAGCUCCUGCUGCAUGGUGGGGGUUGGAAAGUUUCGGCGGUUGGGGAUGGACUCGCGGCUUAUCAGCUUGUUGGUGGGGUAGUGGCUUACCAAGGCUUUGACGGGUAGCCGGCCUGAGAGGGUGACCGGCCACAUUGGGACUGAGAGACGGCGCAGACUCCUACGGGAGGCAGCAGUGGGAAAUAUUACAGAAUGGGCGGAAGCCUGAUGCGGCGACGCCGCGUGCGGGAUGACGGCCUUCGAGUUAUAAACCGCUUUCGCCUGUGACGAAGCGUGAGUGACGGUAAUGGGUAAAAAAGCACCGGCUAACUACGUG
rnacentral:rRNA from 1 species